GGUGAAGAACGUAGCGAAAUGCGAUACUUGGUGUGAAUUGCAGAAUCCCGUGAACCAUCGAGUCUUUGAACGCAAGUUGCGCCCGAAGCCAUUAGGCCGAGGGCACGCCUGCCUGGGCGUCACACGUCGUUGCCCCCCCAUCUACUCCUUCGGGAUUGCGGGGGGCGGAUGAUGGCCUCCCGUGCGCCUCGUCGCGCGGUUGGCAUAAAUGCCAAGUCCUCGGCGACGCACGCCACGACAAUCGGUGGUUGCGAAACCUCGGUUGCCCGUCGUGUGCGGUCGUCGCGCAUCGAGGGCUCGAAAAAAUUGCCGGGCUCCGGCUCGGCUUUCAACGCGACCCCAGGUCAGGCGGGGUUACCCGCUGAAUUUAAGCAUAUCAAUAAGCGGAGGA
rnacentral:misc_RNA from 1 species